AGUGAACGCUGGCGGUAGGCCUAACACAUGCAAGUCGAACGGCAGCACAGUAAGAGCUUGCUCUUACGGGUGGCGAGUGGCGGACGGGUGAGGAAUACAUCGGAAUCUACUUUUUCGUGGGGGAUAACGUAGGGAAACUUACGCUAAUACCGCAUACGACCUACGGGUGAAAGCAGGGGAUCUUCGGACCUUGCGCGAUUGAAUGAGCCGAUGUCGGAUUAGCUAGUUGGCGGGGUAAAGGCCCACCAAGGCGACGAUCCGUAGCUGGUCUGAGAGGAUGAUCAGCCACACUGGAACUGAGACACGGUCCAGACGCCUACGGGAGGCAGCAGUGGGGAAUAUUGGACAAUGGGCGCAAGCCUGAUCCAGCCAUACCGCGUGGGUGAAGAAGGCCUUCGAGUUGUAAAGCCCUUUUGUUGGGAAAGAAAAGCAGCAGGUUAAUACCCCGCUGUUCGGACGGUACCCAAAGAAUAAGCACCGGCUAACUUCGU
rnacentral:rRNA from 1 species